UGUUAAUUUUAAUGAUGAUGAUGAUAGUGAUGGUGAUGAUGAUGAUAGUGAUGGCGAUGAAGAUGAUGAUAGUGAUGGCGAUGAUCAUGGUGAUGGGGAUCAUCACCAUCACUAUAAUCAUCAUCAUCAUCCUCACCAUCAUCAUCAUCAUCGUCA
rnacentral:pre_miRNA from 1 species